rnacentral:rRNA from 1 species
AUUGAACGCUGGCGGCAGGCCUAACACAUGCAAGUCGAAUGGUAACAGGAAACAGCUUGCUGUUUCGCUGACGAGUGGCGGACGGGUGAGUAAUGUCUGGGAAACUGCCUGAUGGAGGGGGAUAACUACUGGAAACGGUAGCUAAUACCGCAUAACGUCGCAAGACCAAAGAGGGGGACCUUCGGGCCUCUUGCCAUCAGAUGUGCCCAGAUGGGAUUAGCUAGUAGGUGGGGUAACGGCUCACCUAGGCGACGAUCCCUAGCUGGUCUGAGAGGAUGACCAGCCACACUGGAACUGAGACACGGUCCAGACUCCUACGGGAGGCAGCAGUGGGGAACAUUGCACAAUGGGCGCAAGCCUGAUGCAGCCAUGCCGCGUGUAUGAAGAAGGCCUUCGGGUUGUAAAGUACUUUCAGCGGGGAGGAAGGGAGUAAAGUUAAUACCUUUGCUCAUUGACGUUACCCGCAGAAGAAGCACCGGCUAACUCCGUG